AUUGAACGCUGGCGGCAUGCCUUGCACAUGCAAGUCGAGCGGCAGCACGGGUGCUUGCACCUGGUGGCGAGUGGCGAACGGGUGAGUAAUACAUCGGAACAUGUCCUGUAGUGGGGGAUAGCCCGGCGAAAGCCGGAUUAAUACCGCAUACGAUCUACGGAUGAAAGCGGGGGACCUUCGGGCCUCGCGCUAUAGGGUUGGCCGAUGGCUGAUUAGCUAGUUGGUGGGGUAAAGGCCUACCAAGGCGACGAUCAGUAGCUGGUCUGAGAGGACGACCAGCCACACUGGGACUGAGACACGGACCAGACUCCUACGGGAGGCAGCAGUGGGGAAUUUUGGACAAUGGGCGAAAGCCUGAUCCAGCAAUGCCGCGUGUGUGAAGAAGGCCUUCGGGUUGUAAAGCACUUUUGUCCGGAAAGAAAUCCUUGGCCCUAAUACGGUCGGGGGAUGACGGUACCGGAAGAAUAAGCACCGGCUAACUACGUG
rnacentral:rRNA from 1 species